rnacentral:tRNA from 1 species
GCGUUCAUAGCUCAGUUGGUUAGAGCACACCUUGACAUGGUGGGGGUCGUUGGUUCGAGUCCAAUUGAACGCACCA